AAAUCAGAAAAAGGAGAUAAUGUAAAAUCCUCUCCUUUGUCGGAACUAUACUAUGCCACCUAAUUGCGAUUUGAGCCAGCGCAGCCCAUACCUUCUUCUCUCUUUCACCACUGUUCUUUCGCCAUACCUCUUUCCUUUCAUCACCGUUCUCUCUCUCUCUCUCUCUCUCUCUCUCUGUUAUAUGUUCAGUUCUGUGAAUAUUGGACAGAUUGUGAACCAAAAGUUGGACAAAAUGCUGAGAGGUUCUAAGAAUUUUGGACUACAAACACAACAUCCGUAAUAUGUCCGUUAUAGCUCAAGUUGACGACGUGGAUGCAGUUGAUAUUGGAGUAGACAUGCCAUUGACAUUAUUGCAGCUUCAUUCCAUCUCUAAGACGGUAUCAAGCGGUGACUAUCAUUCCCAGAGAAGUGAAAGAAGCAAAGGAACAGACGUUAUCAAGCGGUGACAAUCGUUCCCAGAGAAGUGAAAGAAGCAAAUGAAUACUAGAAAGUUGAAGAAAAUUUAUAUAGAAGAUGAGAAUUGUUGUAACCACCAUGAACGUGGAUCUGUUAGUGGAGUUGUGCUUCUCGUCGAGCAGAGGAGAGGAAGAUGAAAAGGUGAACACACGUGUUUUGAUGCUUAGGGUAUGUUUGUGGGCUUCAUAUAUUGUGCAUAAGCCAAAAACUCACGGUUCACAAAAAAUUGGGCUUAUGGCCUUGUACUUGGGCUUAAUAUACACAUACAGCAAAUCAAAACCCUAUUUAAUAGUUCAGAGAUUUGCUACGGUUUUGUAUAAAAGUUCCUAUUUUUUUGCCACG